GCACAGAAACGGACGGUCAGAGCAGGGGCCGGAGCGGGAGCAGCCGCGGCCCGGCGAGAAGUAAACAGGCAGCCGCAGGAAGCCAUUAGGGAGAGUGGGCGCUAAUGAGCGCGCCGCGGGGCCCCGCCGCCUCCGUGCACCGCCCGCGCCCGGGACGCCGGGACACCGCGAUUGGAGCCCGGAACCCCGCUGGCAGGCCAUAAACCUGUUUGUGGUCUCCCCCGGUUCCCCCACGGAUGCUGAGAUCUCCGCCCUUCCCACGUCCUCGCUGGCCCUGGGGACCCGCAGUGCAGGGGGCGGCAGCGCAACCUGAUCCAGGCAAGCGCCAUGGAGGCCACACUGUUGGCUGUGUCCAUUGAGAACUGUAUUUGACCAAACCAGGCACCAAACAGGAAAGCAUGCACCUACUGUGUCCUUUUCCUCUCCUAAUGCUCCACAUCAGACCCUCAACCUUAAAAGAAGCUACCCAGCCUGGUGUGGUGGCUUAUGCCUGUAAUCCCAGGCUCUAGGCCCAGAGUCCCCUCCACAGGUUUCCCCUGCAUCUUGAACUGUCUCAGAGCACUGGAGGACAAAGAAGCCUUCAGGUCACCUUGAUGACUCCAGCCACCCCCGACUGUGUCUCCCUGUGGUGACUGUCUCAGGCCUACCCAAUACCCAACAAGUCUGAGCUUUUCCUCUCUCAUGGCCCUUGUCCUGGCCAGUCUCCCUGUUUUAUUGGUUAAGUGUUUUGUUUUGGUUGAAUGUAAGAAAAUUAAGAGACUUGGAAAAGUAAAACCUAUA